GGAACACUCAAAAGAAAAUAGGUACACCCUCAGACCUGUAGAAGAAGCAGUGAUGGGCUAAUUCCAUGAGGGAAGCCAGCCAAGAAUUUAUACCUGUGGGGUAAAUUCUCAGUUGUAAGGGUCUGUGGCUGUGAGCAGUCAACAAUUUUCAAGAGGCUGGUUAGGAAAUUAAGAGAACAGAUUAAAGUAGAAUUGGGUAAUGUUUCCCCUGGAUCUUUAUACUUGAAAAUUUUCAACUGAGAUACAGCUGAUCCUUUCAUUUACUUUUUAACGGUAGCUAAGUUUGGCUGCCUGCAGUGACACCAUGAAUCAUGUUUAUAUUCUGAAAAAAAUGGUCUCUUUCAUCUGCCCUUUCUCUUGCCCCACAACAUGCAACUAAGAUCUAAAAGUUAUUUUUCCUCAAGGGAAUUUUCUCAUCAGAUCAAAACUCUGAAGUUCUGUGCAAAGAUAAUGAGCUAGUAGCAAAUUGAAUUUUAGCUUUUCCAAGAGUAUUGAAAUAUUUCUUACAGUAUUUCUGGUAGGGUUCACAAGUGAAAAUAUGAAAUAUGACAUUAAAUUGCAAAAUAUCUUAGGAAACAUUGCAGUGGUGUUUUGAAGGGAAAAUGAAGCACUUCAUUAGUAAGAAAUGGUUUUGAAUCCAUAUACAAAAGGACCAGAUAUGAGCAUGUACAGUAUCAUUCUGAUCUAU
rnacentral:lncRNA from 1 species